UACGUAGGUGGCAAGCGUUGUCCGGAAUUAUUGGGCGUAAAGCGCGCGCAGGCGGUUCUUUAAGUCUGAUGUGAAAGCCCACGGCUCAACCGUGGAGGGUCAUUGGAAACUGGAGAACUUGAGUACAGAAGAGGAAAGCGGAAUUCCACGUGUAGCGGUGAAAUGCGUAGAGAUGUGGAGGAACACCAGUGGCGAAGGCGGCUCUCUGGACCAGCACUGACACUGAGGCACGAAAGCGUGGGGAGCAAACAGG
rnacentral:rRNA from 1 species